UAAAUUAUAGAAAACUUCUCUGUAAAUAUCCGAUUUUCACCAUCUCUUCCUUAACUCUCAAAUAUCUAUAUUUUUUCAUCUUAAAAUUUUAAAAAUAUUAAUUUUAAUGGGAAUACGAUGUUAAUAAAAAUGGCAAAAUGACCAAAUUACCCUCACUUUUUUUUAUAAGAAAAACUAAUUUUUUAAUAUACUUUUGUUAUUUUAAAGAGCAUUUUCGGUAUAAAUUAUAAAAAAUGAACGGAAUAAUGAAAGAACCCCGAUGGAGGGAGGCUAAAUAUAAAAACUUGGAAUAUUGAGGAGAUAAAAUAUAGAUUUUUGAAAAUUAAAUAGGAAAAGUGAAAAAAAGUAUUUACAUGAGGAUUUUCUAUAAUUUAGCCUUUAAAAAAAAUACUUCUUAGAAUCAAAGGCUAAGAU
rnacentral:lncRNA from 1 species